rnacentral:rRNA from 1 species
CGCUGGCGGCAGGCUUAACACAUGCAAGUCGAGCGGGCACUUCGGUGUCAGCGGCAGACGGGUGAGUAACACGUGGGAACGUACCCUUUGGUUCGGAAUAACGCUGGGAAACUAGCGCUAAUACCGGAUACGCCCUUGGCCUCUGGCCCUGGGGAAAGGCUUGCUGCCGAAGGAUCGGCCCGCGUCUGAUUAGCUAGUUGGUGGGGUAAUGGCCUACCAAGGCGACGAUCAGUAGCUGGUCUGAGAGGAUGAUCAGCCACACUGGGACUGAGACACGGCCCAGACUCCUACGGGAGGCAGCAGUGGGGAAUAUUGGACAAUGGGCGCAAGCCUGAUCCAGCCAUGCCGCGUGAGUGAUGAAGGCCUUAGGGUUGUAAAGCUCUUUUGUCCGGGACGAUAAUGACGGUACCGGAAGAAUAAGCCCCGGCU